ensembl:lncRNA
AGUAUCCAUCGUGAUAUUUUAAACAGUCCAUAAAGCACUCAGGACGGCCCUGAAAGAGAGGGGCCGUAGUAGGGUGCUUCCAUAUCGGGCAUUAAUAUGAGAAUGACCCUUAAAUGCAUUUAGGACCAUAUUUUAAUUUUUGGGUUCCCAGGUGCACGUUUUCAAUCACCAGGUGCACGGAUGUAUAGGGUCCCCCAUGGAUAAAAGGUCCGUAUUAGGGUGCUCCCAUAGCGGGCAUGACUUUUUGGAACACCGCUCAUGUAAUUUUAGGUUCCCAGGUGCACGUUUUCAAUCACCAGGUGCACGGAUGUAUAGGGUCCCCCAUGGAUAAAAGGUCCGUAUUAGGGUGCUCCCAUAGCGGGCAUGACUUUUUGGAACACCGCUCAUGUAAUUUUAGGUUCCCAGUUGCACGUUUUCAAUCACCAGUUGCACAACAAUCAGUAUCCAUCGUGAUAUUUUAAACAGUCCAUAAAGCACUCAGGACGGCCCUGACAGAGAGAGGGCCGUAGUAGGGUGCUUCCAUAUCGGGCAUUAAUAUGAGAAUGACCCUUAAAUGCAUUUAGGACCAUAUUUUAAUUUUUGGGUUCCCAGGUGCACGUUUUCAAUCACCAGUUGCACAACAAUGAGUAUCCAUCAGAACAUGUUAAAGUGUCCAUAAAUCCCUCAGGACGGCCCCUAUGGAAAGAGGGCCGUAGUAGGGUACUCCUAUAACAGGGCAUUAAUAUCAGAAUGACCGGUAAAUGCAUUUUGGAGCUUAUUUUAAUUUUUGGGUUCCCAGGUGCACAUUUCAAAUCACCAGUUGCAC